rnacentral:rRNA from 1 species
GUGCAGCCUCCGCGGUAAUACCGGCAGCCCAAGUGAUGGCCACUCUUAUUGGGCCUAAAGCGUCCGUAGCCGGCCUCGCAAGUCCGUCGGGAAAUCCAGUAGCUCAACUACUGGGCGUCCGGCGGAAACUACAAGGCUUGGGACCGGAAGGCUCGAGGGGUACGUUCGGGGUAAGAGUGAAAUCCCAUAAUCCCGCACGGACCACCGAUGGCGAAAGCACUUCGAGAAAACGGAUCCGACAGUGAGGGACGAAAGCCAGGGUCUCCAACCGGAUUAGAAACCCCAGUAGUCC